rnacentral:lncRNA from 1 species
AAAUAUGAUUUUUAUAUGUUUAAAAAUGGUUUUAAAUGAAUGGUGAAAUUAAGAGAAAACAAAUUUGCAUUAUUAACAAAUGAAACUAUGAGUAUAAUAAAGGCAUAAAAAGAAAUGAAAAUGCUAAAAUAAAAUAAAAUAGCUAAAAGAAAUAAAAUGCCAAAAAAAAUGCUAUACAUGAGUAUUGAACCCACCCCACUCAAGACUAUGAUACUACCCUUCUCCACACGACCACUCAUGGUUAGUUAUUAUUUGAUGUUACUUUAAAUAUAUGAACCAAAAUAGAUUAAACAUUAGAAUAAAAACUAAAAAAAAAAAAAAAAGUCUGUUGGACUACCAGUAGUUAAACCCAGCCGCCUGGCUGUUGGGUUUUUCCAGGGAAUAUGAAUUGAAAAUAUGGAAACAUUUAUUAACUAAUAUUAACUAAAUCUUAGGUUUAAACAAACUUUUAAUGGUUUCAAAAGAACUUAUUUUGUUUAAAACGAAUUAAAGAAAAAAGGAAAAAAAACAAAUUGGUAACAGGAUCGUUCUCCUUGUUCUCUCUCAAUCUCCCAAAUUCGCUCUCUAAAUCUCACGAACCUCUCACUCGCAACUUAGCCUUUCGUUUUCAACUUCUCAUCUCCCUCACGAAAUCUCUUCUCUCAUCGCGACCUCACCGAAUCCUCUCACGCUCUCAAACUCAAAGAAUCACUCUCUCUCAACUC